UUGGUCCAUCACUUAAAUACCUACUCAAUGCCGGAGUUGUUGUUGACCCUCAAUGUUGAAAAAGUGUUCGAUAGACUUAAUUGGUUAUACAGGAAGCUAGUUUUGCUUAACCCAUUAAAGACAGAGGCAAAUGUAAUGUUCUGACAAAACCUAGAAUUUUAACUAUACUUCUGUUCAACCAUAAUUUACCUCUUUCAUAUUAUGUGCACCCACAUUUAUU